rnacentral:rRNA from 1 species
UACAGAGGGGGCAAGCGUUGUUCGGAAUUACUGGGCGUAAAGGGCGCGUAGGCGGCCAUCUAAGUCAGACGUGAAAUCCCCCGGCUUAACCUGGGAACUGCGUCUGAUACUGGACGGCUUGAGUAUGGGAGAGGGAUGUAGAAUUCCAGGUGUAGCGGUGAAAUGCGUAGAUAUCUGGAGGAAUACCGGUGGCGAAGGCGGCAUCCUGGACCAUUACUGACGCUGAGGCGCGAAAGCUAAGGGGAGCAAACGGG